AUUGAACGCUGGCGGCAUGCCUUACACAUGCAAGUCGAACGGUAACAGGUCUUCGGAUGCUGACGAGUGGCGAACGGGUGAGUAAUACAUCGGAACGUGCCCGAGAGUGGGGGAUAACGAGGCGAAAGCUUUGCUAAUACCGCAUACGAUCUCAGGAUGAAAGCAGGGGACCGCAAGGCCUUGCGCUCACGGAGCGGCCGAUGGCAGAUUAGGUAGUUGGUGGGAUAAAAGCUUACCAAGCCGACGAUCCGUAGCUGGUCUGAGAGGACGACCAGCAGCACUGGGACUGAGACACGGCCCAGACUCCUACGGGAGGCAGCAGUGGGGAAUUUUGGACAAUGGGCGCAAGCCUGAUUCAGCCAUGCCGCGUGCAGGAUGAAGGCCUUCGGGUUGUAAACUGCUUUUGUACGGAACGAAAAGACUCUGGUUAAUACCUGGGGUCCAUGACGGUACCGUAAGAAUAAGCACCGGCUAACUACGUGCCAGCCGCCGCCGUAAGAC
rnacentral:rRNA from 1 species